rnacentral:rRNA from 1 species
UGCCAGACUCCUACGGGAGGCAGCAGUGGGGAAUAUUGCACAAUGGGGGGAACCCUGAUCCAGCGACGCCGCGUGAGUGAAGAAGUAUUUCGGUAUGUAAAGCUCUAUCAGCAGGGAAGAAAGAAAUGACGGUACCUGACUAAGGAGCCCCGGCUAACUACGUGCCAGACGCCGCGGUAAUACGUAGGGGGCAAGCGUUAUCCGGAUUUACUGGGUGUAAAGGGAGCGUAGACGGUUACGCAAGUCUGAAGUGAAAGGCGGGGGCCCAACCCCCGGACUGCUUUGGAAACUGUGAAACUGGAGUGCAGGAGAGGUAAGUGGAAUUCCUGGUGUAGCGGUGAAAUGCGUAGAUAUUAGGAGGAACACCAGUGGCGAAGGCGGCUUACUGGACUGUAACUGACGUUGAGGCUCGAAAGCGUGGGGAGCAAACAGGAUUAGAUACCCUAGUA